rnacentral:rRNA from 1 species
UACAGAGGGUGCGAGCGUUGUCCGGAAUCACUGGGCGUAAAGGGCGCGUAGGUGGCGACCCAAGUCGAUGGUGAAAGCUCGCCGCUCAACGGCGAGUCGGCCACCGAUACUGGGUUGCUCGAGCACUGUAGAGGCUAAUGGAAUUCCGGGUGUAGCGGUGGAAUGCGUAGAGAUCCGGAAGAACACCGGUGGCGAAGGCGGGUCUCUGGGCAACAACUGACGCUGAGGAGCGAAAGCGUGGGGAGCGAACAGG